UACAGGGGGUGCAAACGUUGCUCGGAAUUAUUGGGCGUAAAGCGCGCGUAGGCGGCUACUUAAGUCGGAUGUGAAAGCCCUUGGCUCAACUGAGGAAGUGCACCCGAAACUGAGUGGCUGGAGUACGAAAGAGGGUCGCGGAAUUCCCGGUGUAGAGGUGAAAUUCGUAGAUAUCGGGAGGAACACCUAUGGCGAAGGCAGCUCGCUGGGACGUUACUGACGCUGAGACGCGAAAGCGUGGGGAGCAAACAGG
rnacentral:rRNA from 1 species